CAGUCGCCACGGUAAUACGGAGGGUGCAAGCGUUAAUCGGAAUUACUGGACGUAAAGCGUGCGUAGGCGGUUCGUUAAGUCUGUUGUGAAAGCCCCGGGCUCAACCUGGGAAUGGCAAUGGAUACUGGCGAGCUAGAGUGUGUCAGAGGAUGGUGGAAUUCCCGGUGUAGCGGUGAAAUGCGUAGAGAUCGGGAGGAACAUCAGUGGCGAAGGCGGCCAUCUGGGACAACACUGACGCUGAGGCACGAAAGCGUGGGGAGCAAACAGGAUUAGAUACCCGCGUAGUCCCUGUCUCUUAUAC
rnacentral:rRNA from 1 species